rnacentral:misc_RNA from 1 species
AAGUCGUAACAAGGUUUCCGUAGGUGAACCUGCGGAAGGAUCAUUAACUAGUAUUGAAGUCCACGGGGAUCAGGCUUUCCGAAAGGAGGGUGGGGGGAUGUUUGGUUCCCCCUGCUUGGGCAGACUGGAGAGCAUGGUGUAGCCACUUUUUGUUGGCUAGAUUAUGUUUGGCCUCUGCUGAUCGAGCUUGUCACCUGAAUUCUACUACCCUUGCUUUUUGCGCACCCAUUGUUUCCUCGGCAGGCUUGCCUGCCAGUAGGACCCUUUAAAACCCUUUGUAAUUGCAAUCAGCGUCAGAAACAACGUAAUCGUUACAACUUUCAACAACGGAUCUCUUGGUUCUG